rnacentral:lncRNA from 1 species
UUUGCAUUUCUCCCUUGUUGCUUUUCUUUCAAAACUCAAUGCUUUUAACACUUCAAAACAUGAAAACAAGUGAAAAGACUUUAGAAAACAUAUGCAUUACCCUUCUCGAGGGUUCCGACACCCGAGAUUCCACCGGACUACAGGAAUUCCGAUGCCGGACUCGAGCCGGGUAUUACAUUCUCCCCCCCUUAAGAACAUUCGUCCCCGAAUGUCCCUAACACAACAUAAACACAUAGAAAAGGG